AGUACGGCGGCGUGCUAAUACAUGCAGUCGAGCGAACUGAUUAGAAGCUUGCUUCUAUGACGUUAGCGGCGGACGGGUGAGUAACACGUGGGCAACCUGCCUGUAAGACUGGGAUAACUUCGGGAAACCGAAGCUAAUACCGGAUAGGAUCUUCUCCUUCAUGGGAGAUGAUUGAAAGAUGGUUUCGGCUAUCACUUACAGAUGGGCCCGCGGUGCAUUAGCUAGUUGGUGAGGUAACGGCUCACCAAGGCAACGAUGCAUAGCCGACCUGAGAGGGUGAUCGGCCACACUGGGACUGAGACACGGCCCAGACUCCUACGGGAGGCAGCAGUAGGGAAUCUUCCGCAAUGGACGAAAGUCUGACGGAGCAACGCCGCGUGAGUGAUGAAGGCUUUCGGGUCGUAAAACUCUGUUGUUAGGGAAGAACAAGUACAAGAGUAACUGCUUGUACCUUGACGGUACCUAACCAGAAAGCCAACGGGUUAACUACGUGCCAGGCAGCCGCGGUAAUACGUAGAGUGGCAAAGCGUUAUCCGGAAUUAUUUGNGGCGUAAAAGCGCGCGCAGGCGGGUUCUUAAAGUCCUGAAUNGGUGAAAAGGCCCACGGGUCCAACCCAGGUUGCGACGGGGGGUUCCCAUCUUGGGAACAACCUUGGCGGGGAAAACUUGGAGUUUGGCCAGCCAACGAACACAAAAAGCGNGAAAUUUCCCCACGUGUUACCCGGGGUNGACACCAUGGGCCGUAGAAAGACAUCGUUUNGGGAGGGACACACACCCCAGUCGGGCAAACGGGCGGCUCUAUCAGGGNCACUGGAACUUGAGGCGCUGAAGAGCCCAAAAACGCCGUUGGGAACGACAACCCAGGGUGUAUAGAUCCCCUGGACG
rnacentral:rRNA from 2 species